GGAAGUAAAAGUCGUAACAAGGUUUCCGUAGGUGAACCUGCGGAAGGAUCAUUAACGAGAGUGGGACCCCGCGUCCCCCGGGGCUCCGGCCCCGACUCUUCACCCUGUGCGUACCUACCUUUGUUGCUUCGGCGGGCCGUCGUUCGCGCCGCGGACGCCUGAGGUUCACCCCCAGGCUUCGCGUGUGCCCGCCGGAGGCCCUUUAAACCCCGUUACCGAUGCCGUCUGAGGAGAAAUUCAAUAACUAAAACUUUCAACAACGGAUCUCUUGGUUCUGGCAUCGAUGAAGAACGCAGCGAAAUGCGAUAAGUAAUGUGAAUUGCAGAAUUCAGUGAAUCAUCGAAUCUUUGAACGCACAUUGCGCCCCUUGGUAUUCCGGGGGGCAUGCCUGUUCGAGCGUCAUUGCAACCCUCAAGCACUGCUUGGUCAUGGGCCCCGUCCGCAGGGACGUGCCCGAAAGUCAGUGGCGGUCCAGCCGGGACUCCGGGCGUAGUAAACUUUAUCCCGCUCAUGGAAGCUCUCGCGGCGGCCAGCCAACCCCCCAGUUUUCAAUGGUGACCUCGGAUCAGG
rnacentral:rRNA from 1 species